rnacentral:misc_RNA from 1 species
GUGUAGAAAAUUCACGAAUCCAGUGGAAUCCAGAACAGAAUAGGGGAUUUACGAGUUGAAGAAAUAUAUAGACGUAGGGGAUUCUUCGUGAAUCCUGGUGAAUCCUCGCGAUAGGGUUAUAAAGUGUCGCCGGUGUCGACACUCGACACCGCUAUGCGUGAGCGUGAUGCGUGAUACGUCCCGUCCCGUGUCGCCCGUGCGCGAUGUACUCUGCGCCAGACCAGUCAUCAGAGACACCAGAUACAGCUCUUGAGCUCAUGCAGCCCAAUACAGCCAGCUGCCAGACAUCACGGCGCGCUCGUCUGAUUCGCAUGCACUCGUCGACACUCGUGUUUUCGUAUAUCUCGUGUACGCACAUACGCUGACGAUCUUCCAUUGAUAUCAGCUAAUGCCACUUGUCGUAAGCAUCGCUGCUCAAUAGACUCGUGUUGUACUGCGGAAUGCAGUUGCAGUAGCUGCGACAGCGACCGCCAGUGACUAUUAUAAAGUACGAGGAUAGUGCCACGGAAUAACAAUACGUCGCUCAUUAUUACGAACAGUAUAACCGUUGCAAGGUUAGGCACAAGGUUCGCGCGGCGAAGCACGACGCGGAAUCGGACUUCGGUUCGGAGUCCGCUUCCGAGGGGUAAACGCGCGACACUGAUAUCACUCCGACAGCGGAUAUGGACGGCAAGGUCGACGACGAGAAUCAGCGUGGCGUCAACGACGGCGACUGGGUCUGCCCUGACUCCCAAUGUGCCAAUAUAAAUUUUGCCAGGCGUAACUCCUGCAAUCGCUGUGGGAAAGAUAGAGGUGAAUGCCCGAAAAAGAAAAAAUUGGGCCAGGAAAUUGGAAAAGCAGCCGCGGAAAAAAGUAGAGGCCUAUUUAGCGCGGACGACUGGCAAUGUAGUAAAUGCGGUAACGUAAACUGGGCUCGUCGACAACAGUGUAACAUGUGCAACGCUCCGAAAUUCGGUGAGAUAGAGGAACGCACAGGAUACGGAGGUGGGUAUAACGAUCGAGGAGUCGUCGAAUACAAGGAGAGGCGAGAUGAGGAUGAUGAGUAUGACGAGUUCGGACGGCGUAAAAAAAAGCGAAAAUUAGAGAAGAAUUCCGAUGACGACUCGAAGGAUUCCAAGUACAGCAGCCCGCGUAGUAAAUCUAGAGACAAGGAAGAAAGGGAUGAGGACGAAGAGAAGCAAGAAGAAAACGAGGAAGAGGAAGACGACGAGGAGGAGGAAGAGGAAGAGGAAGAGGAGGAAGAUGGUGAUUUAUCUAAAUACGAUCUUAGUGAAUGGGAUGAUUUUGCACCAGCAAAAAAAAGUACAAACGGAAGUACUAUAUCUUCAGAAGCACAACGGUCAAGAAACGGAGAUGAUCGGCGCGAUUCAGGCACAUCCAACCAAUGAAAGGCUGUACAGAAGGACAGGUGAACCAGGAGAUGAAAGAACGCAACCAGUGCUCGGCAACUAAGAAAUAUACACAACGCAAGUUUUAGUAAUUUAGUAUGCACCUUUGGAUAUAAAGUGGCCGAUAAUGUGUGACUUAUUACAAAGGGAAAUCGACUAACAAUAAGCUUUACAUUUAUAAUUGAGCUCAUAGCUUCGUUGAUCCUAAGGAAGCGAAAUGUAGGUCUCCUAUUUGCGCGGGUAUAUCGUUGUUCUAACGAUUGCAGAGUUUAUGAAAAACUACUUCGGCGCAAGUAGUAUGUUUCGCUAGCGAGAUACGAGAUUGAUAAUUUCAAUAUGAAUCUAUAGAAGAAAUUAUACAAAGCUUGUUUUACAAGCUAAAUAUGACGUUGUAGAAAAAGAUCUUACUCCUAUUGUAAUAGAUGGUGUCAACGCUCUGCGCAAGCCCCGUCGUCGCAGUGUUCUAAAAUUCCUAUUACUUUUAUCACAAACGUAACUAUAUCGAUGUAGCCAUGUCACUGCUUCACAUUGCUCAAAUUGCCUGAAGAAACCUAACUUUUUCUUCUUUUGUCCCCUUGUGUCUCUCUCUCUUUUUACAUCAUUUAUCUAUGUAUAAUGCUCGCAUUAAGUGAACAAUCGUCAAGUGUAGUUAAAGAAUCAUUCCCCAAACAGAUAUGUAUUUUGCAUCUUUUGGAAGAGACCAAAAGGAAAGGAUACGUUAUCUUGCUUUGACUAUCACAGAUUUGAAUAUGGACUUGUCGUGAACUCCGACGGCCGUUCUUGAAUCGCAAAACGAUCAAAUAUCGUACUGACUUCUUGUAAAUAUCUUUAUUUUUCAUUUAUAAUAAAAAUCAUUCAUCAACAACAUAA